CCCUUAGAUGCUCUGGGCCGCACGCGCGCUACACUGGUCGAUGCAACGAGUUUCUUUCCUUGGCCGACAGGCCUGGGCAAUCUUUGAACAUCGAUCGUGAUCGGGAUAGAUUCUUGUAAUUUUUGAUCUUAAACGAGGAAUUCCUAGUAAACGCAAGUCAUCAGCUUGCAUUGAUUACGUCCCUGCCCUUUGUACACACCGCCCGUCGCACCUACCGAUUGAAUGGUCCGGUGAAAUCUCCGGACUGGCGUGAGUCGGAGCAAUCUGACAAACGCCGGAAAGUUGACUAAACCUUACCAUUUAGAGGAAGGUGAAGUCGUAACA
rnacentral:rRNA from 1 species